rnacentral:rRNA from 1 species
UACGGAGGGGGCUAGCGUUAAUCGGAAUUACUGGGCGUAAAGCGUGCGCAGGCGGUUGUGCAAGACAGAUGUGAAAUCCCCGGGCUUAACCUGGGAAUGGCAUUUGGGGACUGCAAGGCUUGAGUUUGGCAGAGGAGACUGGAAUUCCUGGUGUAGCAGUGAAAUGCGUAGAUAUCAGGAGGAAUACCGAUGGCGAAGGCAGGUCUCUGGGCUAGAACUGACGCUCAUGCACCGAAAGGCGUGGGGAGCAAACAGGAUUAGAAACCCGUU